rnacentral:misc_RNA from 1 species
GAUGAAGAACGCAGCGAAAUGCGAUAAGUAAUGUGAAUUGCAGAAUUCAGUGAAUCAUCGAAUCUUUGAACGCACAUUGCGCCCCCUGGUAUUCCGGGGGGCAUGCCUGUCCGAGCGUCAUUACAACCCUCAAGCUCAGCUUGGUAUUGGGCCCCGCCGACCCGGCGGGCCCUAAAGUCAGUGGCGGUGCCGUCCGGCUCCGAGCGUAGUAAUUCUUCUCGCUCUGGAGGUCCGGUCGUGUGCUCGCCAGCAACCCCCAAUUUUUUUCAGGUUGACCUCGGAUCAGGUAGGGAUACCCGCUGAACUUAAGCAAAUCAAUAAGCGGAGGA